UAAUACGUAGGAUGCGAGCGUUGUCCGGAAUUAUUGGGCGUAAAGGGCGUCUAGGUGGAUUAAUAAGUCCUGUGUGAAAUCUCUUGGCUCAACCAAGAAAGGUCACAGGAAACUAUUAGUCUAGAGGUCAUGAGAGGUAAGUGGAAUUCACAGAGUAGUGGUGAAAUGCGUAGAUACUGUGAGGAACACCAGAGGCGAAAGCGACCUACUAGCAUGAAUCUGACACUAAAGCGCGAAAGUGUGGGUAGCAAACCGGAUUAGAUACCCGGGUAGUCCACACCAUAAACGAUGGAUACUAGUUAUGAGAGGCAUAGACCCCUUUGUAACGAAGCUAACGCAUUAAGUAUCCCGCCUGGGGAGUACGGCCGCAAGGUUA
rnacentral:rRNA from 1 species